UACGAAGGGGGCUAGCGUUGUUCGGAAUUACUGGGCGUAAAGCGCGCGCAGGCGGUCCUUUAAGUCGGGGGUGAAAGCCCAGAGCUCAACUCUGGAACUGCCUUUGAAACUAGAGGACUUGGGUACGGGAGAGGUGAGUGGAAUUCCGAGUGUAGAGGUGAAAUUCGUAGAUAUUCGCAAGAACACCAGUGGCGAAGGCGGCUCACUGGCCCGGAACUGACGCUGAGGUGCGAAAGCGUGGGGAGCAAACAGG
rnacentral:rRNA from 1 species